rnacentral:rRNA from 1 species
UCUUUAUAUAAAUUUUAAUAAUUUUAAUUAAGAAUAUUUUAUUUAUUAUUAUUAUUUAUAUUUUAUUGGGGUAAUAAAAAGAUUAAAUUAAUUCUUUUUUAUUUAAACAUUGAUUUAUGAUUAAGUGAUCCAAUAUUUUUGAUUAAAAGAUUAAGU